UUUAGAAAAUCUUUAUCAAACUAUAUCAGAUUUGAUUUUCAGAACGGACUGCAAUUUUCAUAUCUCAAUAGAUGUUCGAUAGUUUGUGGGAAACAAAUGAAAUGAAAUAACAUAACCUGAUGUAAAACCUCUAGGCAAGUAUUUCAUAGCAUUCAUGUGAAAAAAAGCUUUUAUCUGUGAGACAGAUUGGUGAUAGAUUAUUGUGUACAGAACGCAGAAAACCAAUCACUUAGCUCUACACAUAAGGGCAAAGUUUGUUACUUGAAUGAAGAAUGCUUUGGUUUUAUCAAUAAAUGAAUUUACGAAUGAAUGAAAAGUUGUAAUGAUACUCAACCAUUACAGAACGUUUGAUUAUUUCAAAAUAUUUAACUUUAGGAGAUACGAUAAAAUUUAUUCCGGAACAUUAUUUGUGAACAUUUUAUAAUGUGAUAAUAAAAUUGAAGAUCACCACGUGAAUAUUUAGAUUGGCGAAAAGCGCUUAAAUCAAAAGCGCUUUAUAAGGAUCUUGGAAUUUUCGGGCGUAUUUGGAAUUCUAUCCGCAGAGCGCCGUUGGAUGCAAACGGCUAAAUGCGGAAUAUCGAGCAUCGGUUCGGCAUACAAUAAUCAUGUCAGACCGCAAAAAUAGCGAAAUCAUUACAGUUGAGUAAACGUGACUAUUUCGCGGGCUUGGUCUUGACUCAAGUCGCUAGCGGAUAGGGCGUCGAAACUUGUAUGUAUUGGUUUUGAAAAAAAGACAAAUUAACUAACAAACCAAAUUCGAAUAUCUUCCCAGCUGUAGAUAAGAGAAAAUGAAAGUUGCAAUUAAUUCGACUCAGCUAUUUUGAAACAAACCCAGUAAUUAAGGAAGGAAUAAUUUUUUUCCACUGCGUCGGCAAGCCCGUAACAAUACAAAGGAAAUUUUCCGUCAGCCAUAUUGGCGUUGCCCUCCAAAGACGGUCGAACUCACCAUAAUGUAAUCACAAAAUUCUCCAAUGUAGAGAACAUUUUCGCUCGACUCUUUCAAGGACGCACACACUUCUAAACAUGGCGACGGCUCCCCGACAAAUUUCAUCGGAGCGCAAGCCAAGAUCCUCCUUGCUCGAACUCCUCGUACCUCUAUCACUGGAUUCGGGAAGCCGUCAGUAGAUGCUGCUGUGUCCGGGACCAAGCUCUCCCAUUGGCCGAUAGCGCUCAGACGCUCGGCAACGUGGCCUGAACUCUGCGUUUUCAUUGGCAAUUCAGACGUCCUGAACAACGCAGUACUUCCGGCAUUCUGAUCGAAUCAGCAACUUAUUUUUCUAAAUUCACGCUAUUGUAGAACAAUUAUGAACACGU